rnacentral:rRNA from 1 species
UACGUAGGGUGCGAGCGUUGUCCGGAAUUAUUGGGCGUAAAGGGCUCGUAGGCGGUUUGUCGCGUCGGGAGUGAAACCCUCGGGCUUAACUCGGGGCUUGCUUUCGAUACGGGCAGACUAGAGGUAUGCAGGGGAGAACGGAAUUCCUGGUGUAGCGGUGAAAUGCGCAGAUAUCAGGAGGAACACCGGUGGCGAAGGCGGUUCUCUGGGCAUGAUCUGACGCUGAGGAGCGAAAGUGUGGGGAGCGAACAGG